rnacentral:lncRNA from 1 species
AUAAAUUUUAUUUUUUUCAAAGUAUCACUCAGCUACAAAAUCGCAUACCCCACCCGUCUUUACAAAGAAGUUAAGGUUUUGCUUUAUCAAGGGUUUGUUUGCAUGUACGUACGCUUAUCACUAGAAACUAAAGAGUAUUGCAUAAAUUGCCGGAAUAUUUAUUAAAUCAAAAUCAUUCAACACAUCAACAAUGCCCGAGCGUUUGAUAUUGGGUUUUCACGAAAUUUACAUUGUUCAAGUACAAACAUAUUCCGUCACAGACUUCCAGGUUAACUUUUAUUAACGAGUUAUAAUACUUGCUCUAACGUUGGAUAAUAUACACAAGAGCCUUGGAUACUUGUUUUGCGGGGA